rnacentral:tRNA from 1 species
GGAAGGAUGGCAGAGCGGUUGAAUGCACCGGUCUUGAAAACCGGCGGGGCGCAAGUCCUCGGGGGUUCGAAUCCCCCUCCUUCCGCCA